rnacentral:rRNA from 1 species
GAUGAACGCUGGCGGCGUGCCUAAUACAUGCAAGUCGAGCGAACAGACGAGGAGCUUGCUCCUUCGACGUUAGCGGCGGACGGGUGAGUAACACGUAGGUAACCUACCUAUAAGACUGGGAUAACUUCGGGAAACCGGAGCUAAUACCGGAUAAUAUUUCGAACCGCAUGGUUCGAUAGUGAAAGAUGGAUUUGCUAUCACUUAUAGAUGGACCUGCGCCGUAUUAGCUAGUUGGUAAGGUAACGGCUUACCAAGGCAACGAUACGUAGCCGACCUGAGAGGGUGAUCGGCCACACUGGAACUGAGACACGGUCCAGACUCCUACGGGAGGCAGCAGUAGGGAAUCUUCCGCAAUGGGCGAAAGCCUGACGGAGCAACGCCGCGUGAGUGAUGAAGGUCUUCGGAUCGUAAAACUCUGUUAUUAGGGAAGAACAAACGUGUAAGUAACUGUGCACGUCUUGACGGUACCUAAUCAGAAAGCCACGGCUAACUACGUG